ACAUGCUCUUUUUCUCCGUUUUGACAGAAACACAAAGCUCUGCUACUGGAGGUCUUCAAACUCACAGAUCCCGCCUUCAAAUUCAUCAAAUCCUUCACCAAAUGAACUGGGUAUGGAGUCAGUAGGAGGCAAAACGGACUAUCAUCACACAAAAGAUUUCGAAUUUGGCUUUGUGUAAUCAUCUCUCCCACUGUUCCAGAGUUGAAAUCAUGGCUGGGUUUCUUCUGAUUUUGAGCAAAUCCCAUUUCAUUAGAGCUGUUUGGAUGCUGGGUGUCCCUUGAUUGCUCACUGCGCGUGGUUCAACAAACUGCAGGAGUGGGACAACCAAGCAAUGGCUUCGAAAGAGAUCGGAAAAGACAAUGACGAAGGCAAACAGAAAAGUAUUAUCAGACGCUCAUUUGCAUUCGCGGAAGCAUUAAGUCAAGCCACUGAAAAGAAUGCCGCAGCAUUCAUGAAUAGGGUAACACAACGAGUCCCAGGUGAAGGUGGCGUACGUCAACUUGGUCCAAGUUUCCAUAGUGAUAUACCGUCCGAUGUGGAGAAAGUGUUGAGCAAGCAUGAAGUAGAUGAUUCUAGUUACUUCAGCGAAGGAAAAGCAUGGGGAGCAUGGUCACAAAACCGGGAAAAUGGCUUAGUGAAACGGCCAAUUGGAUUUCGUGGGUCGAACGAGUGAGAAAGAUGGCCAACCAGUUAGUGACGAACCUGUGGGGGAGAUAGUGUCUUCUAAAAGAAUGGCCGAAAGGGAAGUUGUGACAAUGACUGUGGAGAAGGAGACACGUGUACUCACUCAAACUUCAACGCAAGCCAGUACUCCCUUGUCAGUAACCUAGUCGCUUAGUGAGAAAUUGGUGUCGGCUAACGAGCCGGAAGGGUUUGAAGCCGAACUCUAAGCUUUCAUGAGGGCAUUUUCGGCCGAUGCGCUAACCCAACCAGAAUGCUGCUCGGCCAUUUCACAGUUACCCACCUCUCAAUCGACGUCAAGGGAGGAAAUUGAUGGGCUCCGAAGGUGGUAAAUGAAACUUUAUCUCAGCCAUUGAAAGAGUUUGUAGAAACAGGUCAACUACCAAAAGUGAAAGUGGUCAUGGAUGUGUUACUUGGAGCCAGAUACUUUUCUCCUUCCAAGGGAAACCUCAUUGGUGAGAAGCUAGAGGUGUUGGCCCAACAAAUAUCUGGUGUAGCUGGUGCGUACCAAGAAAUAGAAGAAAUGAGACAACAAACAUUGGCUUGUGAGCAAAUGAAGAAAGCCCUGGUUCCCGAGUUUGGGUGGUGUAUGGAGCAAAAAUGGGUUAUGGAGUCUCUUAAAGGCAAGAUAAAUGAGUUGGAAAGACAAUUGGCGUCCUUGAAACAAGAGAGACAAGAAGUGGGGGAAAAGCUUCUUCAAAGGAGUAAGCAGUGUUUCGAAAGCCAAAGACAACUGAAAAAGCUAGAGGCCGAAUUGAAAAAUUCCGAGCCUAAGUGUGUGCAACUUGAGAGUGACCUUCGGGACACUGGUUUUACCUUAGGAGCUCUUAAAGCUUUAUUAGCCGAGUAAUGAUGAUUUAUGUAUGUGGCUCUUUUGUCGGCCAUUGGCCGGUUUUGUAAACAUUUGAAACUUCUAGGCCGAUGAAAAACGAAUUAUUUACUUGUCAGUAACUGGUCAUAAACCUUAUUGUGUCAUGUAUCAAUA